AUUUACAUUCUGUCUGAAAGGAUGGCUUUGGAGUAUACUUAUGCUGCAAGAAGUCUGCACAUAUUUUUCCCUUCCUUGCUGGAAGGUAUCCUGAGACAGAUUUGAUGGAAAUCUUUCCCAUUGUAAAAUAGAGAAACACAGCUAACUUCUCGCUUACACAGACCCAGGAAUUCAGAACCUCUCCAACAAAGAGCUGGUUGUAUUUCAUUACGAAAUCUGAUCCCAAAGAAGUUCCUGCUGUCAUACGCUCCAGCAUGAGUGAGGAUCUUCCUAGCAAGCCUCAAGUACAGUGAGCUGGCAAAAUGUCUCUGGAAUCCAGUGAAGGUCUUCUAGUUCUGAUGGGUCAGAACUAGAGACAGAAGUGCCUAAAAAUUUUACAGUCUUCUUUAUUCAUUCUUUGAGUGAAAGGAUUAAUGUGUCAACACUACUUAUAAAAUCUCAGGAGCCCUGUCAGCCAAGUCUUUCCACCCUACUGAAAAGUAUAAACCCAAGUAAAGAGGAGACAAAACACUGUAGAGAACCAACCCUACUUUGUAUUGAUGUAUUGAUAAUUUUUAAAGUUUUAUG